GCGCUGCUGUCCCGGAGCUUCAGAGCCCAGACGCGCGGCGGCGGGACAGCUGGAGCUCGGCUCCCCCGUACAGCCGGAGCUCGGCUCCCCAGUACAGCCGGAGCUCGGCUCCCCAGUACAGCUGGAGCUCGGCUCCCCAGUACGAGUCUCCGCGAUCAGAGGUCUCCCGCAGCCAGGGGUCUCCAGCGGCCGGAGGUCCCCCAGGGUUAGAAGUCUCCCGUGGCCUGAGGUCUGCCGCGGCCCGAGGUCUCCGUGCCCACUGGGCCGCCCCACCAUGCGGCUGAGAAGACCUGGACUGCUCUUGCUGCUGUUCGUUGGCCUGCAAGCUGAUAUUCAAAAGAAAGAAGUCCAAGGGAUCGUGGGUAGCAGUGUUGAACUCAGCUGCAUUUACCCUGGCGGAAGCAGUUUUGAUUUAAAUGACUUUUUUAUUUAUUGGCAAACCAAUGAGCCACAGACUGUGGUAGCCUACCUCUCUGAGAAUAGCUCCUGGCGCCACGAAGAUAACCGCUACCAGCACCGGGCCCAGCUGUCACUGGACAGCAUGAAGCGGGGCAACUUCUCUCUGCAUUUAUACAACAUUACCCCCCAAGAUGAGCAGACGUAUCAGUGCCUUGUGUUCAGCAAGCCCCAGGAAUUAAAAAAAGUUUGGGAAGUUGAUGUCAUACUGCACGUGGCAGCCAACUACAGCAUGCCCAUCGUCAGCACCCCCAUCCGCCCCUCCCAGGACGAGGAGCUCACCUUCACAUGCAGGUCCACAAAUGGCUACCCAAGACCCAACGUGUACUGGAUCAACCAGACGGACAACAGCCUGCUGGACAAGGCGCUACAGAACAGCACGGUCUCCAUGAAUGAACAAGGCUUGUAUGACGUGGUCAGCACCCUGAGGGUCCAGUGGGCCCCCAACGUGAAUGUCCAGUGCUGCAUCGAGAACGUGAUACUGCACCAAAACCUGACCGUCAGCAGCCACCCAGAACCUUCCUCUGGAACCAAUGACAAGAUCACAGAUAAUCCAGCCACGCCCCGGGAGAAAAAUAUGGCCGUUUUUAUCGUCUUUGGCAUCCUGGGCGUGAUGGCGGUCGUGGUGACCAUCUGGCUUUAUAAGAACAGAUGUUCUCGUGGAAGCUACACAGCAUUCACGUUCACUAGGAUUGGCAACUUGAAAUGCUCCAAGGAACUGGAUUUGAAGUGAGACCCUAUGUUCAGACGUGCUCACGUCAAAAGGUGCCCAGGGUGCCCAGCCGGAGCUUGAACUCAUUGGUGAGCAUGCAGAGAGCCAUGUUUGACAGGAAUGUCCUCCGGACGUUGGGACGUCGGGGAGAUGCCCAGGCCAGACUUCACACGGCAGCUAGAGAAAGUGUCCAUUUGUGAAAUGCGGGGCAGUGACUCAGACAGGCUUGCCCCCAGCUGCAUCACUUACAAGGACAAGGAGCGUCCCCAGCCUGCAUGGACAUGCAGGGCCUCCCUCAGCAGGACCACGACCAGGCCUAGAAGGAUGUACAGGUGCCGCUACUGACUCUGAGUGAGGCCCUUUUGGAAGGGUCAGCAGGCCACAGCAGGAGUGUCCCCAAGUGGGCAAGCUUGCUGCCUUCGAGGCCAAAUGUGGAAUGAGACAGGGCCUCAUGACCAGCUGCUCCACCAUCCCGGAACACGUGUGACCCUGAGACCUACACCGGGGACUGGUACCUCUGUUGGGACAUGGCUUCACAGCUGGAAGAAGGGAGCUGGGUUUGCAAAAAAGAGCAGGGCGCCCCACUCCCCGACGCCUCUGGGGAAGUGGAGGCUGUGCUGGGCGGGGCCAAGCAGGGUUUGCAGGAGACACAGGCCGUGGGGGUCUGAGCAUUUCUGCCUAUAAGCUCCCACCAUAUUCUCCACCCUGAAGCUACGGAGUCUGUUGUGUCUGUGUGCGUGUGUAUCUGUACAUGUGUGUGUAUGUGUGUCUACAGGUGGCUUGUUUUCACGGUCUGUUACACCCAUGUGUCUGUGCAUGUGUGUGUCUCCAUGUGAGGGGUGUGCGUGUGUCUGCACACACGUGUCUUGUAUGAUCCGUAUGUACGUAUGCACAUGUGUGUGUCUAAUUCAGUAAAUGACACCUGGUGAAGAACCCCUUGUAGACUCACUGGACAUUAUUUUCCUUUGAGACACUUACUGGGAAGUACUGGGAAGAAAACCUGGCCUCAUUCAUUUUGGUCAAAAGCAGUGGGAUUUUGUGAGGGGAAGGUUGGCUUCAGGGGAGGCGCCCAGUGAGACACAGUGCUUUCCAGGGCUAGGCUCUGCAGCCAGGAAGGGACGUGCACCCCAGAGACCACACAAAAUAACCCAUGAGGGACUGGCCACACGCAUUUCCAGGGACGUGGGUUUGAGACGUGACCUUGGCAGUGCCCCAGAGCGGGCGUUCCCCAUGGCGGGGGUGUGAGUUCCUGUCAACCAUGGAGUCUUGUCAGAUCCUGGCAGGCACUGUUGAUCACUCGUCCCCACUGCCUCUCUGCAUUAAUCACCCACAGCUGCCCCACCCCACCCCAGCAUCCCACCCAGCCCCCAUGACCACUCCUGCCCUCCACGCCUGUAAGAAAGACCUCCAGCUCCAAUGUCAGGUUUCUCGGAGCCCGGAGGCCCCUCAGGUGCCAGAAGCUGGGCAGAGGCCCAGAUCCACACAGGGGCCCUGACCUCCCGGGGAGGUUUCCAUGUUGUUGCUCAGAUGUCUUAGGGAGAAAGUUCUGGAAAGGAGGCCAGCCAGGUAACCCAGGUAUGCACACCACCCAGGGAGGUCUGGCCUCCCUGUCAGGAUGCUGUGUGCACUUGGAGUUGUGGGCAAAUGCCCUCCUUCGCCUUUCUGCUCAGAUUCUUCUGGUGGCCCUAGAGCUCAGUUAGGGGUGUCGUUACACCCGUGGUCAGUCAGUACAAUGGUCUCAGGAAGCCUGCGCUCCUCAGGCCCCAGCGUGGACCAGAACUGAGAAGUGAGGUCCGUGGUUGAGAGGUCAUUCCGUAACUUGUUAUAAGAGGUGGUUUUUUUUGUUUAUUUUUGAACCACAAAAUUCUCAUGCUGGCUUUUAAACACACGUGACAAGGGGUCCCCACAGAAGCUUUAACUGGGAGAUGCAUGUUGUUCCAGAAAGAACAAUGGUUGUUCAUUAGCAUCUGGGGCAGAGAGGCAGGAGAGGCUGCUGGGCCAGAUGGAAAGGCAAUGUGGUGCCUGCCAAGUGAUCAGGGAGCUGACUCUGGGCAGACUCUCUGGGACCUGCGCCUGCCCAGGAGUCCCCCAGCUCCCGGGACCCUGGGUCAUGGCACCCGCCUUCAGACUUAGACUCUGUCUGCCUGGGCCUCAGCGGACUGCAGGGCUGGGGCCCUCAUACAGACCAGAUGGCAGCAGACAGCAGGAAGAUGGAGUCAGGUUCUGGCUUUCCUGCCAAACCAUUGCUGUUCAUCAGGGAAACGGGGCAAGGGUCUCCAGCCUAGCUCUGUCCGGAUACACCGGGGCUGCAGAAGCCCUUCGCCAAGCUGGGGGCCAGGGGCUCCUGCUUCUACCCUGCCCCCCUGCCCAGCUCAGGCUGUCACUGCAGCUUUUGGUGGGUUCCACCCAGAUCUGAGCUCAAGAGGACCUCUGCUCUCUAGUGGCUGGUUGCUGAGUUAUCACCCCAGUACUGGUCCUGGGCGGGGGUGCUUGGUCUGACAGCUCUACCUGGCUACAGAGCAGGAGAACGUUCCAGAAGGCAAGCUGCUCCAGUGGGCGCAUUGCUGCCGUGCUCUGUUUAAGACUGGGGACAUCGGGCAGUGUCUGGAGACAUUUUUGGUUGUCAGACUGGAGGUAGCUACUGGGAUCUAGCGGGUGGAGGCCAGGGUUGCUGCUCACCAUCCUACAGUGCACAGGACACCCCUUGCCACAAAGAAGGAUCUGGGCCCAAGUGUCAGCAGUGCAUGGGUUGAGAAUCCUGCUCUCGGAGGUCACACCCUGUUCAAGGGCAGGGCUAUACUGGGGCUCAGGGGAACACUGCCAGUCCUCAGGCCUCCGUUCAGCAGCUGACUGAGCUCACUGUGGGCUGGGAGAGGGUGACACCUUCUAACAGGUCCAGGCCCAGGUACUAUACUAGGUCAGGUGUUGGCAGCCUUCCUCCCACCCAGUCCAGCCCCGAAGGGCCAGGCACCAGGGUUCCCCAUCUCACAGUGCUCAGAGCUGGGCAGGUGGGCUGGGCACCCUGUGUCCUUUGGAAUCACUGGUCUCCGUGGAGGUAUCUGUGGCUUCUCACAUGGUAGGUGUGCAAGAAACUACCAUCAAGUGAGGUUCAAGUUCAGGCUAGCGUCUAGUCUCCUAGUGCAGCUGUAAUAGAAAUACUACAAGCGAGUGGCUUUGAAGAACAGGAAUGUCUCACAGUUCAGGGGGCCAGAAGUCUGAAUUUAGAGAAAGGUCUUUCCUUGGGGUUCCUGGCUUUUAUAGGUGCAUCUGCCAUGUGUCUGUCUUCACACAGCGUCUUCCCUUGUGUGUGUCUUUGUCUAAUCUGCUCUUUUUAAGACACAGAAGUGAUUAGGUUUGGGACCCACCCCACUCUGGUGUGACCACAUUAAUAUAAAAGAAAAACCUUUUUUCCAAACAAGAUCCACUUGGCGAACAGGAUCCAGGACUUUUAUACAUAUUUUGGGGGGGACACAACUCGAUCCACAACAGCUAGGGUGUGGGAUGGUUCAUCACUAGGGGAGGGGGGGCAAGUAGGAGACAGCUAAGUGCAUCAUCCAUCAUCCUGUGUACAUCGCUUCUUUUCACGCCUCAGUUGACCCUCCUGUAAAAGGUUCUGUCUGCUGGCUCUUGCAGCUUGGACACUCCACAACUGGGGAGGGCAAUGUGGCUUUGGGAUGGCCGUCGGGGCUGGGGUGCCUCUAGAAAAGGCAACCACUCUACAGCAGCCUGGCCAUGGCAUGGUGCCAGGAUGCAAUUGGCACUACCGUUUCCGGUCCUCCCUCAGGCCCUGCUCCCUGGAGGCACACUGAGCCCGGCUCUCAAACCCUUCAGCAGCUCAUCUUUUAUUCAUCUCCCUGCCAGCCAGCUUUUCUGAAAACAGGCACCCUUAAUAAAAACCCAAAACCAAACCC